CUAAGAAUCUUCCGCAAUGGGCGCAAGCCUGACGGAGCGACGCCGCGCGAACGAAGAAGGCCGAGAGGUUGUAAAGUUCUUUUCUUGGGGAGGAAUAAUGAUGGGAGUGGAAAGCUCAUCAGAUGACGUUAUCCGAGGAAUAAGCCCCGGCCAAUUACGUG
rnacentral:rRNA from 1 species